UACGGAGGGAGCUAGCGUUGUUCGGAAUUAUUGGGCGUAAAGAGCUCGUAGGCGGCUUGUCACGUCGAUUGUGAAAGCCCGAGGCUUAACCUCGGGUCUGCAGUCGAUACGGGCUAGCUAGAGUGUGGUAGGGGAGAUCGGAAUUCCUGGUGUAGCGGUGAAAUGCGCAGAUAUCAGGAGGAACACCGGUGGCGAAGGCGGAUCUCUGGGCCAUUACUGACGCUGAGGAGCGAAAGCGUGGGGAGCGAACAGG
rnacentral:rRNA from 1 species